UUGAUCCCUAGGCUUAGAAUAUUGAGAUCCAGAGAGAUCCGGGUUCGUAAGGUAACACGUCAUUGACUUCCGUUUGUGUCCUUCAAGGUCCGCUCCUUCCCUCCCCUCAAGCGAAUAAAGAGCCGUAAUUCAGACUCAUUCUCCUCAUAAAUCUUUCUUUCUUCGCCACUCACAAAUUUUCAUAUCCAACAAAUUCCAAAACCUCUCAACAUAUUCCAUCCAGCUAGCUGCACAAACUGAUCCUCUUGUCUCUGGUUUUCUCUUCAAAUGUGAAAGACUUUGCCUAGAAAAAUGAUGAAUAUGUUCUUCCCUCGACUUCUUCCUCAUUCUCUGUUCUUUGUUGCUUGCUUUAUAACUUUUGCCUUUGGAGCUGCUCGAUUGCCAAACGAUGAAGUGCAAACUUUGAAAGCCAGAGCAAAGACACUGGGGAAGAACUAGAAGGGCUGGGAUUUCAGUGGAGACGCAGAUCCAUGCAGCGGCCAACUUCCAUGGACUAAUUCAAGCGCACCCAAAGGAUUUGAGAAUGCCAUCAACUCUAAUUGCUCCUCCACUGUCUGCCAUAUUACUGGAAUGUAAACCUCUCUCUCUGUUCGCUCCCUAAAUUCGCCAUGAGCCACGCGGGCAUGCCGGGAAUUUACUCAAACAUGAAAUUGGUGGGUGUGAGCGUGCCACUACUAGAUGCCGUUAGUAGAUGGGAUUUGAAUGAUUGUGGUUGUGCCUAAGUUUGACUUUAAACCAAGAGAUUGUGCCAUUGAGUGGGAGUAGCUCAAAUCAAUGUUCUUUCUUUGCCUUAAAGAUAAGGACUUUACUUAUAUGGAGAAAUGUAACAACAACUAAAUGACAAGGUUGCUGGAAGUGUGAAUAACAGAGGAAAGUAAAUGACUGGUAUUGUAGAUUGCUUUUAAACUAAAUGACUGGAAAUGAGUUGUGCAAAAAAUACAAAGGAGAUCGAUACUACUAGUGAGCAGCAGAGCUAAUAAACAAGGAAAGUAAAGGAUGUUUAGCUAAAGCUAAAUGUCUACAAGGAGAUUGAUGAGCUAAUUUGAGUAGACUUGAUUGAUUGGUUGUUUGAGUGUCCAUAAUCCUUCUGCCUCUGUUUCUUUAUAUAGAGAUUUGAAAGAGCCCAUUUGCUGAGUGAUAAGCUCAUAUUUACAUAUAUUUUACAUCAAAUUCACUUGUCUUUUCUUA